AGAGAUGCCGUAGAGAAACCAGAGCCUGGAGUUGAAAACCUUAGAAAGCUAACUAGUGGUAUAUUCUACUGCAGGUAAAUAAUGAAGAUGAAACACCUAGCAACUGGGGCUAUUUUUCAAGUUAAUAAUUUCUAGGAACCUAAGUCAGAGAAAUAUUUUUCAGCUGAGCUAACAAAAGCAAGGAAUUGACUCCAGCGAACAGCUCAUUGCAGCAUUAAUAGAAAUUAAUUGACUGCCAGGCUUCUCUGCACACCCAAAAUAUCAUCACCAAUAUCAUGCUAUGGAUUACAAUGACAAGCACUAUAAGGUAUUGAAUGGGAAAGAAAACUUCAGUCACCUAUGAACUGAUUUCAAAUGCAGCCCAUCCUGCUGGGAGAUGAAGUUGAUCACCAGAACCAGCUUCAUCGUUGCCCAGAUCCUGUUUAAAUGCCAAUAAGCACACAGAGAAAUAAAGCAUGGAAAGAAAACAACUAAUGUAGGAGAGAAAGGCCCUGAUGGUGUGAGACACAGAUAAAUUCUAAUACAGAAGAACACAGGAAAGAUCUGUAACAUUGUAUUACUUCACAUGGAAAGCCAGAAGAAUCAAGAGAUUAUACAACAUCCAUAUAUGGUGAUAUUUUUAAUAAGGGAAGAAGUGUCAAAAAGCCAAAAAUAUAUGUGUGAGAUUCACCAAAAGAGAGGAAGAUAAUAAAACAAAUUUUGCCCG